rnacentral:rRNA from 1 species
GAUGAACGCUGGCGGCGUGCCUAAUACAUGCAAGUCGAGCGAACGGACGAGAAGCUUGCUUCUCUGAUGUUAGCGGCGGACGGGUGAGUAACACGUGGAUAACCUACCCAUAAGACUGGGAUAACUUCGGGAAACCGGAGCUAAUACCGGAUGAUAUUUUGAACCGCAUGGUUCAAAAGUGAAAGACGGUCUUGCUGUCACUUAUAGAUGGAUCCGCGCUGCAUUAGCUAGUUGGUAAGGUAACGGCUUACCAAGGCAACGAUGCAUAGCCGACCUGAGAGGGUGAUCGGCCACACUGGAACUGAGACACGGUCCAGACUCCUACGGGAGGCAGCAGUAGGGAAUCUUCCGCAAAGGGCGAAAGCCUGACGGAGCAACGCCGCGUGAGUGAUGAAGGUCUUCGGAUCGUAAAACUCUGUUAUUAGGGAGGAACAUAUGUGUAAGUAACUGUGCACAUCUUGACGGUACCUAAUCAGAAAGCCACGGCUAACUACGUG